CACGUAGGGUGCAAGCGUUUAAUCGGAAUUACUGGGCGUAAAGCGUGCGCAGGCGGUUGUGCAAGACCGAUGUGAAAUCCCCGGGCUUAACCUGGGAAUGGCAUUGGUGACUGCACGGCUAGAGUGUGUCAGAGGGGGGGUAGAAUUCCACGUGUAGCAGUGAAAUGCGUAGAGAUGUGGAGGAAUACCGAUGGCGAAGGCAGCCCCCCUGGGAUAACACUGACGCACAUGCACGAAAAGCGUGGGGGAGCAAACAGG
rnacentral:rRNA from 1 species